rnacentral:rRNA from 1 species
GUGGGACUAAGCCAUGCGAGUCAACGCCGCAAGGCGUGGCAUACGGCUCAGUAACACGUAGUCAACAUGCCCAGGGGACGUGGAUAACCUCGGGAAACUGAGGAUAAACCGCGAUAGGCCAAGGUUUCUGGAAUGGACCAUGGCUGAAACCUAUACGGCCCCUGGAUUGGACUGCGGCCGAUCAGGCUGUUGGUGAGGUAAUGGCCCACCAAACCUGUAACCGGUACGGGCUUUGAGAGAAGGAGCCCGGAGAUGGGCACUGAGACAAGGGCCCAGGCCCUAUGGGGCGCAGCAGGCGCGAAACCUCUGCAAUAGGCGAAAGCUUGACAGGGUUACUCUGAGUGAUGCCCGCUAAGGGCAUCUUUUGGCACCUCUAAAAAUGGUGCAGAAUAAGGGGUGGGCAAGUCUGGUGUCAGCCGCCGCGGUAAUACCAGCACCCCGAGUGGUCGGGACGAUUAUUGGGCCUAAAGCAUCCGUAGCUUGUUCUGCAAGUCCUCCGUUAAAUCCACCUGCUCAACAGAUGGGCUGCGGAGGAUACUACAGGGCUAGGAGGCGGGAGAGGCAAGCGGUACUCAGUGGGUAGGGGUAAAAUCCUCUGAUCCACUGAAGACCACCAGUGGCGAAGGCGGCUUGCCAGAACGCGCUCGACGGUGAGGGAUGAAAGCUGGGGGAGCAAACCGGAUUAGAUACCCGGGUAGUCCCAGCUGUAAACGAUGCAGACUCGGUGAUGGGUUGGCUUUGAGCCAACCCAGUGCCGCAGGGAAGCCGUUAAGUCUGCCGCCUGGGGAGUACGGUCGCAAGACUGAAACUUAAAGGAAUUGGCGGGGAGCACCACAAGGGUGAAGCCUGCGGUUCA